GACGAACGCUGGCGGCGUGCCUAAUACAUGCAAGUAGGACGCAGUUGCGAACGGGUGAGUAACGCGUAGGUAACUGCCUAUUAGAGGGGGAUAACUAUUGGAAACGAUAGCUAAUACCGCAUACUAGUAGAUGGACCUGCGUUGUAUUAGCUAGUAGGUAGGGUAAUGGCCUACCUAGGCGACGAUACAUAGCCGACCUGAUGGGGUGAUCGGCCACCCUGGGACUGGAACACGGCCCAGACUCCUUACGGAGGCAACAGUAGGGGAACUUCGGAAAUGGGGGGAACCCUUACCGAGCAACGCCGCGUGAGUGGAGGAAGGUUUCGGAUCGUAAAACUCUGUUGUUAAGGAAGCGGUACUUAACCAGAAAGGGACGGCUAACUACGUGCCAGCAGCCGCGGUAAUUC
rnacentral:rRNA from 1 species